GGUUGCAGGGGGUAUGGAGACAUAUCAGGGCCAGGGUCAGGUUGCAGGGGGUUUGGAGACAUAUCAGGGCCAGGGUUAGGUUGCAGGGGGUUUGGAGACAUAUCAGGGCCAGGGUCAGGUUGCAGGGGGUUUGGAGACAUAUCAGGGCCAGGGUUAUGUUGCAGGGGGUUUGGAGACAUAUCAGGGUUAGGUUGCAGGGGGUUUGGAGACAUAUCAGGGCCAGGGUUAGGUUGCAGGGGGUUUGGAGACAUAUCAGGGCCAGGGUUAGGUUGCAGGGGGUUUGGAGACAUAUCAGGGCCAGGGUUAGGUUGCAGGGGGUUUGGAGACAUAUCAGGGCCAGGGUUAGGUUGCAGGGGGUUUGGAGACAUAUCAGGGCCAGGGUCAGGUUGCAGGGGGUUUGGAGACAUAUCAGGGCCAGGGUUAGGUUGCAGGGGGUUUGGAGACACAUCAGGGUUAGGUUGCAGGGGGUUUGGAGACAUAUCAGG